ensembl:lncRNA
AGAUAUUAGCUCAGGUGCCAAUCUUUAAAAAGAAAUUUAAAAAAAAAGAAAGCUUAACAAAACUAUAUAUAUACCUCUCCACUUGUAAAGCAAAAUUAAACAUUAAGGUGUCGCUUUUCGUCUGAUUAAAAAUCUUUUGUUUGUCUCUUUAUAUGGUCUUUCUUCAGUUUAUUAUGCUAUUGCGAGAAAGUAGGUUCUUUCUAUAAUUUAAUUUCUUUUCAAGGAAGGCUUAAUGUAAUUAAAGUCUCAUCUUUGUUUAAUGAAAUAUAUUAGGCUUGACCAUGAAGUCUCUGCAUUUCACUUCUCUCUCUACUUCUAAGCUGUUGAAAAUGGUUGAGAGUUGCUCAGCUGUGGCCUCUGCAGCUACUGCAUCUUGCUUUAUAAACCUUCAUAAGAGGCCAGGCAAAUUGUCUUCAGGGUUUUUUGUUUUGUUUUGUUUUAUUUUUCCCCAAAGAUUGGCACCUGGGCUAACAACUGUUGCCAAUCUUUUUUUUUCUGCUUUAUCUCCCCAAACCCCCCCAUACACAGUUGCAUGUCCUUCUAGCUGGGGGAUGUGGGACGCCACCUCAAUGUGGCCUGACGAGCGGUGCCAUGUCCGCGCCCAGGAUCUGAACCCUGGGCCACCGCAGCAGAGCGUGCGAACUUAACCACUCGGCCACGGAGCCGGCCCCUGUCUCCAGGGUUUUGAAAAUUUAUGUCAGAAGUUUAAAACCAAAAGUCCAUUUGUGCUGGAGAGGCUUCCCUGCCAUAUCCUCAGUCUGCAGAGGCUGUAUCUGUCAGCGUAGGCUAACGGCUGUAACAAAUAACCCUUCAAUAUCAGCACCUUGACACAAUAUAAGUUUCUCAAUCAUGUAAAUUCCAAAACGAGUGCUUCCUAUCAUGAAGUGUCUCUACUCCAAGCAAAGAUUCAGGGGCAAGGGAAUGGGCGGGUCAAGCACUUUCAGCUCUGCCAUCUUCAACAUUUAGUCUCUAAAACUUCUCUGGGGGUGGUCUCCGUUCCAGCGAGCCUUCUAGAAGGGAAAAAGAACGUGGUGAUACAUAGGAGGUCAUACAGGCCUGGGAGAGGCACACAUCACUUCUCCACCUUCUACUGGCCAAAAAUCAGUCACACGGCCACAUCCAACUGCAAGGGAGGCUGAGAAAUGUAGUCUAGCCAUGUGCCCAGGAGAGGAGAAGGAAAGUUCAGGCAACAGCUAUGCUGUCGUUGCCACAUUAGCCUCUGUCUCCACUUCAUUCACUAUUCAUUCAGACUUUGUAACAGAAUCAUUCACAAUCUUCCUUUUUGGCUUCUUAUAAAUCAUCAUCCUAAAUGCCCCUGUAGGAGGUUGGAUCGUGUCCCCCAAGAAUUUGUGUUUACCCAGCACCUCAGCUAAACAUGACCUUAUCUGGAAAUAGGGCCUCUCUAGAUGUAAUUAGUUAAGGAUCUCAGAUGAAAUCAUCCUGUCUGUAGCGUGGGCCCUAAAUUCAGUGACUGGUAUCCUUACGAGAAGAGGAAAGCACAAAGAGAUACGGAGAAGAAGGCCACGUAAAGAUGGAGGCAGAGAUUGCAAUUAU